AAUGCUAAAAGAAUGGAAAUUUAAAAAAAAACUUUUUUAAAAAUAAAAAUUGAAUUUUUUUUAAUUUGUGCAAAAACAAUUAUAUUUAUUAAAGACAAGAAGACCCUAAGAAUUUAAGAUUUUACAAUUAAAAAGUUUUUUUUUUUAAAAUCUUGAUUGGGGCGAUCAAAAAAUAUUAAUAACUUUUUAAAAUUUAAAUUGAUCUAUUAUUAAUAAACUAAUGAAUUAAAUACUCUAGGGAUAACAGCGUAA
rnacentral:rRNA from 1 species